GCUUUAAGUAAGCAGCCUGUGUACCUGAGAGCCUCAUCUAGAGGGUGAGGAAACAGGGUUACAGUAUGUCCCUCACAGGGUGCUAUAGUAUAAAGCUAUAAAGCCUAAUGAAUGCUCAGUAUUAUGUAUGGUCUUAACAUCUGGUAAAACCAGGAGGACCCCAAGUGGCGGAACUGCACAUUCCCAACCCAACAACUCUCCAUAUCAAAUGAGCCAGGUGCAAUUCCUGCUUGUUUCUGAGUUGCAGAUUUGCGUCACAAAUGCACUGUAAGCCCACGCAAUUGUGAAAACAAGCCAAUCACAGCUCCAGCGGGCAUCUCGCCCUCGUGAUAUGACAAAGCCUGCCUCCACUGCCCAGUCACUUCCUGUGGCUGCUCCCCCUGUUCCUCAGUGCCACUUCCGUGCAGCUCUGGACCGCAUGCACUGUCUGCUUUCUCUGGGUAAAUGUGACUGAUGAAGCGCCGCCUCUCGCAGCUGUGCUGCACGAGGUGCUGUAUGCUCAGCUACCCCCGCAACCCAAGGAUGGGAAUCAACUCUCACCAGUGAGGUGAACAGGAGGCUAUUAAAGUAGGCAAUGAGAACACUUUCUGGUCCUAGUAAGUGGCACCUCUAGAUGAACAAUGUUCCAAUUACAAAUUUGCCAUGCUUGGUAUCAGGACCUACAUUGCUACUUGUCUUCUCUUUGUCCUUUCUGCUGUUGCUUCUCCCACACGUCUCGGCUUUCAGGCCAGAAAGGUAAGCCUUGCUGCUCAGGGUCUUUUCUUUUCAGCCAAGAACCAGUCAAUUAAGAGCAUAAUGGACAUAAUCUUUGCAUCUGCCCUUUCUUCGCUUGCUGCAAAUGUCUAAGAAAAUUCUCUCAGAGCUUCCCCACCCUCUGGCUUCUACCUGGUAAAGAGAUGCUUAUGAAAAGUGGAGAAAAAGCCAUCUCCAGCUGGCCCAUCUUUACCGUGAGAGCAGAGAAGCUUCCUAGCAUGGCACUGAAAUGUGCUAGGCAGCCUCUGUAAGCGAUCCCCAAACAAA